rnacentral:rRNA from 1 species
CAGUCGCGCGGUAAUACGUAGGUGGCAAGCGUUGUCCGGAAUUGUUGGGCGUAAAGGGCUCGCAGGCGGUUUCUUAAGUCUGAUGUGAAAGCCCCCGGCUCAACCGGGGAGGGUCAUUGGAAACUGGGAAACUUGAGUGCAGAAGAGGAGAGUGGAAUUCCACGUGUAGCGGUGAAAUGCGUAGAGAUGUGGAGGAACACCAGUGGCGAAGGCGACUCUCUGGUCUGUAACUGACGCUGAGGAGCGAAAGCGUGGGGAGCGAACAGGAUUAGAUACCCCAGUAGUCCCUGUCUCUUAUACC